rnacentral:rRNA from 1 species
GCGGAUCAGGAGGGGGCUGCGCCCGAUUAGCUAGCUGGUGGGGUAACGGCUCACCAGGGCGACGAUCGGUAGCUGGUCUGAGAGGAUGAUCAGCCACACGGGGACUGAGACACGGCCCCG